UACCGAAGACUAUCAAACUCCGAAUGCCGUCAUCUUAUACUUGGGAGUCAGACUGUGGGUGAUAAGAUUCAUAGUCGAAAGGGCAACAGCCCAGAUCGUCAGCUAAGGUCCCUAAAUGUAAGUUAAGUGGUAAAGGCUGUGGGAUUGCACAGACAACCAGGAUGUUGGCUUAGAAGCAGCCACUCAUUCAAAGAGUGCGUAAUAGCUCACUGGUCGAGUGAUCCUGCGCCGCAGAUUUCCGGGGCUAAAACUUACUACCGAAGC
rnacentral:rRNA from 1 species